rnacentral:rRNA from 1 species
GACGAACGCUGGCGGCGUGCUUAAUACAUGCAAGUCGAACGGACCGAUUCCGGUCGUUUACUUCUGGGAAUGGCUAGUGGCGGACGGGUGAGUAACGCGUGGGCAAUCUGCCCCUCAGUCAGGGCUAACAGAGCGCAAGUUCUGCUAAGACCGGAUACUCUUUCCUCGCCGCAUGGUAGGUAAAGGAAAGGGAACGCUUAGGGAUGAGCCCGCGUCCCAUUAGCUAGCUGGUGAGGUAACGAGCCACGAAGGCAACGAUGGGUAGCCGGCCAGAGAGGGUGGGCGGAGACACUGAGACUGAGACGCAGCCGAGACUCUUACGGGAUGCGGCAGUAGGGGAUGUACGGAAAUGGGGUGAAGCCUGACGGUGUAACGCCGCGUGAGGUACGAAGUUAGGCGAAUCGUAAACCGUAGUCAUCGAUGAAGAUAAUGACGGUACUCGAGGAGGAAGCCCCGGCUAACUACGUG